rnacentral:misc_RNA from 1 species
ACCUUUCUUAUUUUUCCCAGAUUCGACAUUCGGACAUACUUUAAAUAAUUUUUAUGGUCGCAAGGACAGUUUUUAUAAUCUUUGUUCCCCAUCAUUUCUGUUUUAUAUAGUGCAUAUAUAUAUGCUUUGUUUGGAUUCAGUGAUUUGAUAUAUGAACUGGAGUAAAACGAUAACAAAAGGUUGUUUGCCGACCACGUUUUUCCAAGCUGUUGAGAUUUAUCAGAUCAGAGUUAGAUCACAAGGACAGCACAUUCAAUCAUAUGCAUCUUGAUUGAAUAAGCUUGUCCUCUUAAAUCAGGAGGAAAUGUCGCAGUUCGGAGGGACGAAAAACCCACCAUGGGCAAGACCACAAGCAGUAACAGACUUCACAUCUGUAACAGCGCCAUCAAACAUGAACAGUUUGCCUCAGUCCCAGGUGGCUACUCCUCUCAUGCAGCAGCAACAAGUCCAGCCUAUGUAUGGUAUGGCUAAUGCUGGCCAGAAUGUGGUCAACCCACAGCAAUACACAGCACAACAGCUUCUAGGAUUGCAGGCACAGCAACAAGCAGCAGCUGCGCUCCAGCAACAAGCACAAGUCAUUCCACAGCCAGGUAUUGCCAUUCCGACAACCCUUGCGACUACACAGGUAGCCACAGUCAGCUAUCCAGCUCCCAGCUGAUUGCUCGCCUGACUAAAGCCCUAAAGACAGAGCAGGAGAAGGAAGAGGAGCAGGAGGCCACAGAGGCGCAACAAGGCUCAGAGGUUAGUGAUGAAGUGAAGAAGAACUUGGAAGCAGCUGAAGAAAAAUCAGAUGAGAAGAAAAAAGAGCAGGAAGAGGAGAAGAAGAAAAAGGAAGAGAGAGAGAAAGCUUCGCUGGAGAGGAAGUACGCCCUGCCAGAUAACCCUGUCAUCAUUGUCCACCCCAACUCGGUGGCCAAGGGAGGGAAGUUUGACUGCUCCCUCAUGUCCCUCAGUGUUCUACUUGACUACAGGCCAGAGGAUAACAAGGAACACUCAUUUGAGGUUUCACUGUUUGCUGAACUCUUCAAUGAAAUGCUGAUGAGGGACUACGGAUUUGAAAUCUACAAGGCUCUCAUGAAGGCCCCAGAAAAGAAGGAGGAAGAGAAGAAAGAAAAGAGAUCAGCAGAUGACAAGUCGAGCAAGGAAGCCAGCUCUGCUAAAAAGAAGAAGAC